UCAUUGAUGGUUCAGUGGCAAAAUUCUCGCCUGUCACGCGGACGACCUGGGUUCGACUCUCGGUCGGUGCA